rnacentral:rRNA from 1 species
ACAACUUUCAGCAACGGAUCUCUUGGCUCUCGCAUCGAUGAANAACGCANCGAAAUGCGAUAAGUAAUGUGAAUUGCANAAUUCAGUGAAUCAUCGAAUCUUUGAACGCACCUUGCACUCCUUGGUAUUCCGAGGAGUAUGCCUGUUUGAGUGUCA